UACAGGGGGUGCAAACGUUGCUCGGAAUUAUUGGGCGUAAAGCGCGCGUAGGCGGCCACUUAAGUCGGAUGUGAAAGCCCCUGGCUCAACUGGGGAAGUGCACCCGAAACUGAAUGGCUUGAAUGCAAAAGAGGGUCGCGGAAUUCCUGGUGUAGCGGUGAAAUGCGCAGAUAUCAGGAGGAACACCGGUGGCGAAGGCGGGUCUCUGGGCCGAUACUGACGCUGAGGAGCGAAAGCAUGGGUAGCGAACAGG
rnacentral:rRNA from 1 species